GAUGAACGCUGGCGGCGUGCCUAAUACAUGCAAGUCGAGCGAACGGACGAGAAGCUUGCUUCUCUGAUGUUAGCGGCGGACGGGUGAGUAACACGUGGAUAACCUACCUAUAAGACUGGGAUAACUUCGGGAAACCGGAGCUAAUACCGGAUAAUAUUUUGAACCGCAUGGUUCAAAAGUGAAAGACGGUCUUGCUGUCACUUAUAGAUGGAUCCGCGCUGCAUUAGCUAGUUGGUAAGGUAACGGCUUACCAAGGCAACGAUGCAUAGCCGACCUGAGAGGAUGAUCGGCCACACUGGAACUGAGACACGGUCCAGACUCCUACGGGAGGCAGCAGUAGGGAAUCUUCCGCAAUGGGCGAAAGCCUGACGGAGCAACGCCGCGUGAGUGAUGAAGGUCUUCGGAUCGUAAAACUCUGUUAUUAGGGAAGAACAUAUGUGUGAGUAACUGUGCACAUCUUGACGGUACCUAAUCAGAAAGCCACGGCUAACUACGUG
rnacentral:rRNA from 1 species